UACGUAGGGACCAAGCGUUGUUCGGAUUUACUGGGCGUAAAGGGCGUGUAGGCGGCUUGACAAGUCACUUGUGAAAUCUCCGGGCUUAACUCGGAACGGCCAAGUGAAACUGUCAUGCUAGAGUGCAGAAGGGGCAAUCGGAAUUCUUGGUGUAGCGGUGAAAUGCGUAGAUAUCAAGAGGAACACCUGAGGUGAAGACGGGUUGCUGGGCUGACACUGACGCUGAGGCGCGAAAGCCAGGGGAGCAAACGGG
rnacentral:rRNA from 1 species